AUACGUAGGUGGCAAGCGUUGUCCGGAAUUACUGGGCGUAAAGCGCGCGCAGGUGGUUCCUUAAGUCUGAUGUGAAAGCCCCCGGCUCAACCGGGGAGGGUCAUUGGAAACUGGGGAACUUGAGUGCAGAAGAGGAUAGUGGAAUUCCAAGUGUAGCGGUGAAAUGCGUAGAGAUUUGGAGGAACACCAGUGGCGAAGGCGACUGUCUGGUCUGUAACUGACACUGAGGCGCGAAAGCGUGGGGAGCAAACAGGAUUAGAUACCCUGGUAGUCCACGCCGUAAACGAUGAGUGCUAAGUGUUGGGGGGUUUCCGCCCCUCAGUGCUGCAGCUAACGCAUUAAGCACUCCGCCUGGGGAGUACGGUCGCAAGACUGAAACUCAAAGGAAUCGACGGGG
rnacentral:rRNA from 1 species